rnacentral:rRNA from 1 species
CCUACGGGUGACAGCAGUGAGGAAUAUUGGUCAAUGUCCGUAAGGCUGAACCCGCCAAGUCGCGUGAAGGAAGAAGGAUCUAUGGUUUGUAAACUUCUUUUAUAGGGGAAUAAAGGUAUCCACGUGUGGAUAUUUUCAUGUACCCUAUCAAUAAGCAUCGGCUAACUCCGUGCCAGCAGCCGCUGUAAUACGGAGGAUGCGAGCGUUAUCCGGAUUUAUUGGGUUUUAAGGGUGCGUAGGUUGUUUUUUGAGUCAGCGGUGAAAGUUUGUGGCUCAACCAUAAAAUUGGCGUUGAAACUGGAAGACUUGAGUGUGUUUGAGGUAGGCGGAAGGCGUGGUGUAGCGGUGAAAUGCAUAGAUAUCACGCAGAACUACGAUUGCGAAGGCAGAUUACUAAGCCAUAACUGCCACUGACAUUGAUGCUCGAAAGUGUGGGUAUCAAACAGGAUUAGAUACCCCUGUAGUC